rnacentral:rRNA from 1 species
UAGUACCCCCGUAGUCCCAGCCGUAAACUAUGCUCGCUAGGUGUCAGGCAUGGCGCGACCGUGUCUGGUGCCGCAGGGAAGCCGUGAAGCGAGCCACCUGGGAAGUACGGCCGCAAGGCUGAAACUUAAAGGAAUUGGCGGGGGAGCACAACAACGGGUGGAGCCUGCGGUUUAAUUGGACUCAACGCCGGACAACUCACCGGGGACGACAGCAAUAUGUAGGCCAGGCUGAAGACCUUGCCUGAAUCGCUG